rnacentral:rRNA from 1 species
UACGAAAGGGGCUAGCGUUGCUCGGAAUCACUGGGCGUAAAGGGUGCGUAGGCGGGUCUUUAAGUCAGGGGUGAAAUCCUGGAGCUCAACUCCAGAACUGCCUUUGAUACUGAGGAUCUUGAGUUCGGGAGAGGUGAGUGGAAACUGCGAGUGUAGAGGUGAAAUUCGUAGAUAUUCGCAAGAACACCAGUGGCGAAGGCGGCUCACUGGCCCCGAUACUGACGCUGAGGCACGAAAGCGUGGGGGAGCAAACAGG